CAACCUCGUCCGUUUGGUGGUGGGGAGUACGCCGGCACGCCCGGGUAAUACCGCAUACGGUUGCCGAGGGGAGUCCCUUGGCAAAGAAACCUCCGGGGCACAGAGAGGGGCUCGCGGCCUAUCAGCUAGUUGGUGAGGUAACGGCUCACCAAGGCGUCGACGGGUAGCUGGUCUGAGAGGAUGGCCAGCCACAUUGGGACUGAGAUACGGCCCAG
rnacentral:rRNA from 1 species